rnacentral:rRNA from 1 species
UACGUAGGGUCCGAGCGUUGUCCGGAAUUACUGGGCGUAAAGAGCUCGUAGGUGGUUUGUCGCGUUGUUCGUGAAAACUCACAGCUCAACUGUGGGCGUGCGGGCGAUACGGGCAGACUGGAGUACUGCAGGGGAGACUGGAAUUCCUGGUGUAGCGGUGGAAUGCGCAGAUAUCAGGAGGAACACCGGUGGCGAAGGCGGGUCUCUGGGCAGUAACUGACGCUGAGACACGAAAGCGUGGGUAGCAAACAGG